rnacentral:lncRNA from 1 species
CAAACACUGAACGAUUAUUACAGUUUUCAUAGUACAACCCGGAAGACUUUUUAUUUUAUUCAAUCACCUACCUCUCCACCACACUAAUCUUUUUCCCUACCACCACUAAUAUUUUCUUUUCCCUACCACUAAUCUUUUUCCCUACCACCACUAAUAUUUUCUUUUCCCUACCACUAAUCUUUUUCCCUACCACCACUAAUUUGUUUUCAUACCACUACGCUUUGUAAAAAAAAAAAAAAAGCUUUUAGUCAUGCCCUUAUAUCCUUACUUCUCUCUGCACAACCAAAGUUGGAAUUCAUAGAAGCCUUUAAG